AGGUUCAAAAGAUUGGUUACCUAUUCACAGGAUGAACAUGUGCCACAAAACCAAACUCAAUCCCACCCACAAUGGUAGCAUGCACCAACAAACAACCACACAACACACCAAAGGGCCACGACCCUACCCAUGGCAAGGUCAUGCACUGAACGGGAAAAGUUGUUACCCAGGUUCAAAAAACUGGUUACCUAUUCACAUGAUGAACAUGUGUCACAAAACCAAACCCAAUUCCACCCACCAUGGUAGCAUGCACCAACAAACAACCACACAAGGCACACCACAAGACAUCAAAAGGCCACGACCCUAUCCAUGGCAAGGUCAUGCACUGAACGGGAAAAGUGGUUACCCAGGUUCAAAAAAUUGGUUACCUAUUCACAGGAUGAACAUGUGACACAAAACUAAAC
rnacentral:lncRNA from 1 species